ensembl:lncRNA
CUUUCUUUCUUUCUUUCUUUCUUUCUUUCUUUCUUUUUCUCUCUCUCUCUCUUUUUUUUGCUUUUUAGGGCUGCACCCACAGCAUAUGGAGAUUCCCGGGCUAGGGGUUGAAUCAGAGCUGUAGCUGCCAGCCUACACUACAGCUACAGCAACACAGGAUCUGAGCCACAUCUGCAACCUACACCACAGCUCAUGCCAAUGUCAGAUCCUUAACCUCCUGAGCUAGGCCAGGGAUCAAACCUGCAUCCUCAUGGAUGCUACUCAGAUUUGUUUCUGCUGCGCUGCGAUGGGAACUCCCUAUUUCUGGAUUCUUGAUUCUAUUCCAUUGACCUCUAUGUCUUUUCUUAUACCAUACCACACUGCUUGUAUUCCUGCAGUUUUGUAAUAAGUGUGGAAAUGAGAAAGCAUAAAUUCUCUAUGUUUUUCUUUUUCAGGACUUUCUGGGAUAUUCAGGCCCCUUGAGAUUCCACAUUAAUUUGAGAAUAGGCUUUUUCAUUUCUGUGAAAAAGGCUGUUGAAACGUUGAUGAGGAUUGCCCUGGAUCUGUAGAUUGCUUUGAGUAGUAUUGACAUCUUGACAAUAUUAAGUCUUUCUACCCAUAAAUACAGAAUGUCUUUCCAUUCAUUUAGGUCUUCUCGAAUUUCUUUCGGCAAUCUCUAAACCCUUCUUGAACCUCUCUGUGUCUGACUUACAUAACCUCUCAGGAUAAUGACAGCCAUAUGUUUCCCUUCCCCAUUACACAAUCAUGUUAAAGCCAAUAGAAGGGGCUCUCUCUUUCCGCUUUUGCAGACCCCUUUAAUUUCAGAAUUUUCAAUGUUGGUAAGCAAAUCCCCGUAUGUGCUAUGGAUAGCCUUCUUGUUGUCCUUGAUAUCCAUAAGAUACCUUCUUGGCCACCACCUUCAUAGAUUAACAUCUUUCCCUCUUUCUGGCGUCUCCUCACACUAAGUUUUUUAAGUUGCUCUUCUAGUUCUAUUCUGUUUCCGACCAAAUAAGCAAACAUAAAUCCAACCAAGUUGCAUUCUGCUCAACCUGCUUUAAUUUGGGUGAGAGAGACCCAAGUGUCUAGGGUCUUGAGGAAGAGAGCCUCAACCUUCAGUCUAGGAGCCCCAUUCAAAAUGGAAUGAAAUCAGAAAUGAAAUGUUGACUGUAUAUCCAGAUGCCAGGGCAAGAGGUCCUGGGAACCCAUAACAUUGACCUCUGGGGUGUCACAGGGUAAAGAGCCGCAGAAUGGGUGUGGACACCCAGGAAAGGGGGAGGAUUUCCAGUGGGGGUUUGAGGAGACCCCGUGGAAGAGGAACCAGCCUGACUGGAGCAUGGGGAAGGUGCUUAGACCCAGAAUUAAUGGAAUGUCAUAAGAGAGCAGAGCAGAAUGCUAUGAAUAAGCUAAGGAAGAGUGUGAAACUUCUGAAAAUGAAAGCUAAACUUUAGAUGUAUUAGGAUAAGUGCAUUAGAUAAGGAAAAAUCCACAGCUUUCAUUAGGUUCUCAAAAAAGUAGGUCAGGCUCAAGAAAGACCCUUCCUAAGGAGGGCUCCUUAUACACUGGCUACUAGAAAGUUCAGUGUGGAAGUGGGGAGUUAUGCAUAUGGGCCAGGGGUUAAAGCAUCCAGGGGUGCCUAACCUAGAUUCAAGGUGCCUUGAACUUCCUAAAACUUCGUAUUUAUGUUUUUAUUUGUGUGCAUUUGGGGGGAAAUGGUCAGAGGUUAUGACCUAAGAGCUAAGCACUUCAGGCUCUGGGAAAGCAGAUUCUCCCGGCGAGGAGACCCAAGAUGUGACUGCAGAGUGAGAGGUGGAGUUGGUGAUGGGAGGGCGGUCCUGGCAGGCCAGGGAGCAGGAGGCUUUAGGUAUCAGAGAAACAUGUGCUGGGGCCCUGGGGUGCGAAAGAACCAGGUGGAGAAACCCAGAAUUUGAGAGAAAGACAGAAGAAAAGGAAUUCAAAUCAGGGCGCUUUUGGAAUCAGCUUUCAAACUCAGGGCAAAGCUUCCUUCUGAUGGGCCUUGCUUGAACCCCAGCCUUGAUGAUAAUCACCCACCCUGGAGCCCUGGUGCCUCUUCCAGAAGCUCCCAAGAGGACCAGCCUCGCCCUUCCUGAGUUCUCCCUUCAGACCAAUGACUCCCCAGAGCAGCUUCGGACCCAGAGAGGCCCGAGGGAGCUGACCUAGAACCAAUGCUCUGAGGGAUGGCACCUGGCUCCCUAGGGCCCCCAAAGACCAAGGACCCUCUCGUUCUCAGAAGAUGACUCUGGAGGACAAGACUGUCACAUGAAUCCCACAGGCUAUCACACUGACACCCUCCUCUGUGUGCAUAUUAGAAAGCUAAGUUAUGGGCGUUCCCAUCGUGGUUCGGCUAUAACAAACUUGACUAGAAUCCAUGAGGAUGUGGGUUCAAUCCCUGGCCUUGCUCAGUGUGUUAACAAUCUGGCAUUGCCGUGAGCUGUGGUGUAGGUUGCAGGGGUGGGUUCCAGGAGAACAGGGAGGACCCAGAUAGGAGACCUCACAGCUCACUCAACAUGUCAUCAGGGUAUCUCGUCUUUUCCUGUCGACAAGGACCAGUUUGGUGAAUGGGUUGUAUGGUUUUUGACUCCUUCCUCAAAUCUUGAAGGAGUCAAAUUGAGCAUCUUUUGAGAUGCUUUUCUGCCCCCCAAAGCAUCUUUGCUUCUUCUUGGUGGGAAGGGGGAGGUGUCCUCGGCCAUGCUGAGUCCUGGGCAGCCGGGUUGUACCAUCAUGGUGGCGUGGGGGCAUCUUGAGUGGAGCUCGGCAGCACUGUCCCGGGGGCAGGGGGCUCCGUAAGCAGGAGCUGGGGCAGAAGAUGGGCUCAGCAGAGGCUGUGCAGACCGUGCUCUCUCCACACUCACCCGAUGCCCAGGCAGGAGGAGUCUCCCUGGGGACUGAGAGCCCCAGAGCCGGCCCCUCCUGGGGGAGCCCUCGGGGAGCUUGGCUGCACCAGUGGGUAGCAAAGCUGGGCUGCAGAGAAGCUAGCUCC